AACGCACCUUGCGCUCCUUGGUAUUCCGAGGAGCAUGCCUGUUUGAGUGUCAUUAAUAUAUCAAAACCACUUCUUUGUUGAAGUGGGUUUGGAUGUGGGGGUUUGCUGGCCUCUUAAAGGGUCAGCUCCUCUGAAAUGCAUUAGCAGAACAACCUCUGUUCAUUGGUGUGAUAACUAUCUACGCUAUUGAAUGGUCAAGGCAGUUCAGCUUCCUAACCGUCCUUGGACAAUUUAUCAUUUAUUUGACCUCAAAUCAGGUAGGACUACCCGCUGAACUUAA
rnacentral:misc_RNA from 1 species